rnacentral:rRNA from 1 species
UACGGGCUUAACACAUGCAAGUCGAGGGGCAGCAUGGUCUUAGCUUGCUAAGGCCGAUGGCGACCGGCGCACGGGUGAGUAACACGUAUCCAACCUGCCGUCUACUCUUGGACAGCCUUCUGAAAGGAAGAUUAAUACAAGAUGGCAUCAUGAGUCCACAUGUUCACAUGAUUAAAGGUAUUCCGGUAGACGAUGGGGAUGCGUUCCAUUAGAUAGUAGGCGGGGUAACGGCCCACCUAGUCUUCGAUGGAUAGGGGUUCUGAGAGGAAGGUCCCCCACAUUGGAACUGAGACACGGUCCAAACUCCUACGGGAGGCAGCAGUGAGGAAUAUUGGUCAAUGGGCGAGAGCCUGAACCAGCCAAGUAGCGUGAAGGAUGACUGCCCUAUGGGUUGUAAACUUCUUUUAUAAAGGAAUAAAGUCAGGUAUGCAUACCCGUUUGCAUGUACUUUAUGAAUAAGGAUCGGCUAACUCCGUGCCAGCAGCCGCGGUAAUACGGAGGAUCCGAGCGUUAUCCGGAUUUAUUGGGUUUAAAGGGAGCGUAGAUGGAUGUUUAAGUCAGUUGUGAAAGUUUGCGGCUCAACCGUAAAAUUGCAGUUGAUACUGGAUAUCUUGAGUGCAGUUGAGGCAGGCGGAAUUCGUGGUGUAGCGGUGAAAUGCUUAGAUAUCACGAAGAACUCCGAUUGCGAAGGCAGCCUGCUAAGCUGCAACUGACAUUGAGGCUCGAAAGUGUGGGUAUCAAACAGGAUUAGAUACCCUGGUAGUCCACACGGUAAACGAUGAAUACUCGCUGUUUGCGAUAUACUGCAAGCGGCCAAGCGAAAGCGUUAAGUAUUCCACCUGGGGAGUACGCCGGCAACGGUGAAACUCAAAGGAAUUGACGGGGGCCCGCACAAGCGGAGGAACAUGUGGUUUAAUUCGAUGAUACGCGAGGAACCUUACCCGGGCUUAAAUUGCAGAUGAAUUACGGUGAAAGCCGUAAGCCGCAAGGCAUCUGUGAAGGUGCUGCAUGGUUGUCGUCAGCUCGUGCCGUGAGGUGUCGGCUUAAGUGCCAUAACGAGCGCAACCCUUGUUGUCAGUUACUAACAGGUUCUGCUGAGGACUCUGACAAGACUGCCAUCGUAAGAUGUGAGGAAGGUGGGGAUGACGUCAAAUCAGCACGGCCCUUACGUCCGGGGCUACACACGUGUUACAAUGGGGGGUACAGAGGGCCGCUACCACGCGAGUGGAUGCCAAUCCCAAAAACCUCUCUCAGUUCGGACUGGAGUCUGCAACCCGACUCCACGAAGCUGGAUUCGCUAGUAAUCGCGCAUCAGCCACGGCGCGGUGAAUACGUUCCCGGGCCUUGUACACACCGCCCGUCAAGCCAUGGGAGCCGGGGGUACCUGAAGUGCGUAACCGCGAGGAGCGCCCUAGGGUAAAACUGGUGACUGGGG